rnacentral:lncRNA from 1 species
AGUUUCUUGUGUACAAUUUAGAGUUUAGUAUGGCGUUCAUUGUCACUGAACUAGUAAUUAUUUGUUUAGGGGCCAGUUGAAGGACGCCUCCGAAUGCGGGAAUUUCUCGCUGCAUUGACGACCUGUUGGUGAUCUUCUGCUGUUGUCUGCUCUAUGAUCGGGUUGUUGUUUCUUUGACACAUUCCCCAUUUCCAUUCUCAAUUUUAUGUAUAUAUUUCUUUUGCAGGUGGCAGUGACAGUGGCAGUGGCAGUGGCAAUGGCACUUUAAGUUUAGAAUACAAUAACUUGACCGUUUAUUUGGGAACAAUAAGAGAAAAGACCAUGACAUUAGCUAUAUCAAAACUUGGCAAGCUGACCAACCAGCUGUGCAAGAAGAAAAUGUUAGAUUCAUCUCUUCAGCUGGACAGCAAUGAUGUUCUUGAAAUAUUUAAAAUUAUUUGAUAUCCGAAUUUAAAGGACAUGUUAAAAUGGUAAAAUAUUAUUACCCGAGGAGCAGAAAUUGUCAAUUGUUAAUUCCAUUACAAAUUAUUUAGAUAAAAGAAAAAAAAAAAAAAUUGAACACUGUGAAUAACUUUUAUAUUGUGUGUUUUUUUUUUUUAAUAAUUACAAGACAGACUGUCAUCGUGAAAGAACUUGGAAUUUUGUAAAUGUAGUGUACAAACGAAAUAUGAUCAACUGGAUAAUUCAUAGCCUGCAUCAAGGAAAUAGGAGGGUGACGCAACAAACUGAAGGAUUCAUACUCUGCAAUCGCAUAAUAGGAGGGUCUGGCAAUACACUGGGGGAGAUUCGUAGACUGUAGCAUUGAUUGAGGAUAGGCG